GGGUCAGUAGGUUGGUCGUGCCACCGGUACGUACUGGUCUCACUGAUUCCUCCUUCCUGAAGAACCGUAAUGCCAUUAAUUUGGUGUUGCGGGGAAACAGGACUGUUACUUCGAAAAAAUUAGGGUGUUUAAAGCAAGCUAACGCUUGAAUACAUUAGCAUGGAAUAAUGAAAUAGGACGAUCGAUCCUAUUUUGUUGGUUCCUAGGAUUGACGUA
rnacentral:rRNA from 1 species